rnacentral:rRNA from 1 species
UACGUAGGGUCCGAGCGUUAAUCGGAAUUACUGGGCGUAAAGCGUGCGCAGGCGGUUUUGUAAGCCAGAUGUGAAAGCCCCGGGCUUAACCUGGGAAUGGCAUUUGGGACUGCAAGGCUGGAGUACGGCAGAGGGAGGUGGAAUUCCACGUGUAGCAGUGAAAUGCGUAGAGGUGUGGAGGAACACCGAUGGCGAAGGCAGCCUCCUGGACUAGUACUGACGCUCAUGCACGAAAGCGUGGGGAGCAAACAGG